rnacentral:rRNA from 1 species
AUUGAACGCUGGCGGAAUGCUUUACACAUGCAAGUCGAACGGCAGCACGGGUGCUUGCACCUGGUGGCGAGUGGCGAACGGGUGAGUAAUACAUCGGAACGUACCCAGUUAUGGGGGAUAACUAACCGAAAGGUUAGCUAAUACCGCAUACGCCCGGAGGGGGAAAGCGGGGGACCGUAAGGCCUAGCGUAAUUGGAGCGGCCGAUGUCUGACUAGCUAGUUCGUGAGGUAAAGGCUCACCAAGGCGACGAUCAGUAGCAGGUCUGAGAGGAUGAACUGACACACUGGAACUGAGACACGGUCCAGACUCGUACGGGAGGCAGCAGUGGGGAAUUUUGGACAAUGGGCGAAAGCCUGAUUCAGCCAUUCCGCGUGAGUGAAGAAGGCCUUCGGGUUGUAAAGCUCUUUCGGCAGGGAAGAAACGCUCUGGGAUAAUACUCCGGGGUAAUGACGGUACCUGAAGAAGAAGCACCGGCUAACUACGUGCCAGCCGCCGCAGUAA